ACGGGAGGCAGCAGUGAGGAAUAUUGGUCAAUGGGCGGAAGCCUGAACCAGCCAAGUCGCGUGAAGGAAGAAGGUAUUAUGUAUUGUAAACUUCUUUAGACGUAGAGAAAUAAGCGGGUCGUGACCCGUGAUGCUAGUAUACGUAGAAUAAGGAUCGGCUAACUCCGUGCCAGCAGCCGCGGUAAUACGGAGGAUCCGAGCGUUAUCCGGAUUUAUUGGGUUUAAAGGGUGCGCAGGCGGUCUUUUAAGUCAGUGGUUAAAUAGUGAGGCUCAACCUCAUCCCGCCAUUGAUACUGGGAGACUUGAUUGCGGUCGAGGUUGGCGGAAUUCGCCGUGUAGCGGUGAAAUGCAUAGAUAUGGCGAAGAACUCCGAUUGCGUAGGCAGCUGACCAGGCCGUAAAUGACGCUCAUGCACGAAAGUGCGGGGAUCGAACAGGAUUAGAUACCCUGGUA
rnacentral:rRNA from 1 species